AGAAGUUUCAUCAUCAGCUCCAGGAAAGGUCUAGUUUGCUUUUAUACCCUGCAAGCUAUUCAAUGACAUCUGCAGCUCAUAGCAGCAAAUACAGCUGAAAACAAGACCUUUCCUAUUUCCCCUUUUAAAUAGUCUGUGGUAAAGAUUUAUUAAGCUGUCCUAUAGUAAGAUUCUCUUUGUUACCCAUAGCAACCACACACAGUUCAGCUGUCAUUUCCCAUGUUGCUCUCGUGAAUUAAAAGCUGAGCUGGGAUUGGUUGCUAAGGGCAACAUAAAAAUUAAGAGAAUAACAAAAGGUAGUCCAUUGAUUCAAGGUGGCAGUAAACUUUUCAUGGGUCCCACAAGCCCAACAGUGGUAAAUCCCCAACAAACUGUGUGGAUUUUGAUGUGGACUUGAAGAUUAUGUUCAGUGAUCUAGGCCCCUAAGCAUGAAAGAGGACUUGUGGCCAACCACCAUAAAAGAACCCUUUUCUUAUUGGAUUAAAUUGGAGGAAGAACAUUUAUCACAAGAUGUACAGAAGGAAAACUAAACAAAAC